rnacentral:rRNA from 1 species
AUUGAACGCUGGCGGCGUGCCUAACACAUGCAAGUCGAACGAAGUGGCGAACGGGUGAGUAACGCGUAAUCAACCUGCCCUUCAGAGGGGGACAACAGUUGGAAACGACUGCUAAUACCGCAUACUGAAGGAGGGGAUUGCGUCUGAUUAGCUAGUUGGAGGGGUAACGGCCCACCAAGGCGAUGAGCAGUAGACGGUCUUGAGGAAGGAACGGGCACAUCUGGACUGGAGCACGGCCCAGACUCCUACGGGAGGCAGCAGUGGGGAAUCUUCCGGAAAGGACGAAAGUCUGACGGAGCAACGCCGCGUGGGUGCUGACGGCCUUCGGGUUGUAAAGCUCUGUUAAUCGGGGCGCGGUACCGGAAUAGAAAGCCACGGCUAACUACGUGCCAGCAGCCGCGGUAAUAC